CGGCGAACGCGACCGCGCCUCCGCCGGCCACUCCGGCAUCGCCUCCCCCGGCGAUCCCCGUGCCCUCCCCUCCGGCGCCGGCUAAUCCACCGCCCGCCUCCGUCCCGCCGCCGGCAGCGCCCGCAGCCUCCCCUCCCGCACCGUCCGCUACCCCAUCUGCGCCGUCUCCCUCGCCCCCGGGCGCCCCUGCCACGCCCACCCCGCCCUCGGAUACUCCCUCUCCGCCCUCGUCUGGGGGGAGGUCCCCGCCUUCGUCCGGUGGCGGGGGGAAGUCGCCGCCCACACCGAGCCACAAUAACCCGUCACCCAAAUCGCCCUCUCAUUCGCCCUCGAGCGGUAACUCCGGGUUGUCGACGUCGGUGGUCAUCGGCGUAGCCGUCGGCGGGUUCGUGCUGCUGC
rnacentral:lncRNA from 1 species